rnacentral:rRNA from 1 species
UGGGGAAUAUUGGACAAUGGGCGAAAGCCUGAUCCAGCCAUGCCGCGUGUGUGAAGACGGUCUUCGGAUUGUAAAGCACUUUCAGUUGGGAGGAAGGGCAGUAAGCGAAUACCUUGCUGUUUUGACGUUACCGACAGAAUAAGCACCGGCUAACUCUGUGCCAGCAGCCGCGGUAAUACAGAGGGUGCGAGCGUUAAUCGGAUUUACUGGGCGUAAAGCGUGCGUAGGCGGCUAAUUGAGUCGGAUGUGAAAUCCCCGAGCUUAACUUGGGAAUUGCAUUCGAUACUGGUUAGCUAGAGUGUGGGAGAGGAUGGUAGAAUUCCAGGUGUAGCGGUGAAAUGCAUAGAGAUCUGGAGGAAUACCGAUGGCGAAGGCAGCCAUCUGGCCUAACACUGACGCUGAGGUACGAAAGCAUGGGGAGCAAACAGG